AGAUGCGAUCAUACCAGCACUAAUGCACCGGAUCCCAGCAGAACUCUGUAGUUAAGGGUGCUUGGGCGAGAGUAGUACUAGGAUGGGUGACCUCCCGGAAAGUCCUCGUGUUGCAUCCC
rnacentral:rRNA from 1 species